UGGUCUCCUGGUUCAAUUCAGAUACGGAGAUUUGGCAAAUUGGAAAUUUACAGAGUGCUGUAAAUUUCUGCCCCUUUUCCGUGCAUUCUCUUCAACUAGGCCUUAGGUUCUUUUGUGUUCUGAUUCACUGAUUAAAAUUCAGGGAGGAGAACAACAAUAAAGAAUAUUUUCUAACUCCACUAUUUGGGAAAAUUAGAAUUAUGCUUCAUUUAACAAUCUGGGAGUAACAUUGGAUUUUCCAAAAAUUUUCUUAAUAUGAAGCUUCCGGUUCUUCUAUUUCUACAAACUUGAAGAGAAAUUCUUUGAAGGUGUAAGUCUAUUCAAAUACAUAAUUGAAUGCUAUUACAGAGCAAGACAUCUUAUCCCUGCAUAUAUGGUACCAGAAGAGCACUGAAUCAAACCUCUCCUGUACUUUUGCCAAAAAUUCCAUGACUACACUGCUGGGGUCAUUUUUAAAAGAAAUGCCAUACCUUGUGAACAGUGUUGUGGGCCUUCUGCUGUUCCUUUUUUCUCAAAACAAUCCUAGGUACCCUGUUUUACAGAUCCCUUUUUCCCUCAGGUGAAUACCUGGAUGGUGGCUCUGAUUGUGACCCUGGUGGUUUUCUUGGGUCUCUCUGUCUUGACCAUUUAUUUCUUCAAGCUAAGAAGUAACCUUCUGAGACAACUUGGGUGGAGAAGAGAUGUCACCUGUCCAGGUAAUGGAAGUGCAUAAUGAA